rnacentral:rRNA from 1 species
UACAGAGGGUGCGAGCGUUGUCCGGAAUCACUGGGCGUAAAGGGCGCGUAGGCGGCUCGGUCAGCGUGCGGUGAAAGCCCGGGGCUCAACCCCGGGUCGGCCGUGCGAACUGCUGGGCUGGAGCACUGUAGAGGCAGGUGGAAUUCCGGGUGUAGCGGUGGAAUGCGUAGAGAUCCGGAAGAACACCGGUGGCGAAGGCGGCCUGCUGGGCAGUAGCUGACGCUGAUGCGCGACAGCGUGGGGAGCAAACGGG